GAUGAACGCUAGCGGUAGGCCUAACACAUGCAAGUCGAGGGGCAGCACAGAAACAGCAAUGUUUUGGUGGCGACCGGCGGACGGGUGCGUAACGCGUAUGCAGCCUACCUUUAACAGGGGGAUAACGGAGAGAAAUUUCCACUAAUACCCCAUAACAUCGAUCAAGGCAUCUUGAUUGGUUGAAAACUCCGGUGGUUAAAGAUGGGCAUGCGUUGUAUUAGGUAGUUGGUGAGGUAAUGGCUCACCAAGCCUACGAUACAUAGGGGGACUGAGAGGUUAGCCCCCCACACUGGUACUGAGACACGGACCAGACUCCUACGGGAGGCAGCAGUGAGGAAUAUUGGUCAAUGGGGGCAACCCUGAACCAGCCAUGCCGCGUGCAGGAAGACGGCUCUAUGAGUUGUAAACUGCUUUUAAACAGGGAUAAAGCACAGUAUGUAUACUGUGUUGAAGGUACUGUAAGAAUAAGGAUCGGCUAACUCCGUGCCAGCCGCCGCUGUAA
rnacentral:rRNA from 1 species